AACGAACGCUGGCGGCAGGCCUAACACAUGCAAGUCGAACGCCGUAGCAAUACGGAGUGGCAGACGGGUGAGUAACGCGUGGGAACAUACCCUCCGGUUCGGAAUAACUCAGGGAAACUUGAGCUAAUACCGGAUACGUCCAAGGUUUUAAUCGGCCUUGGAGAAAGAUUUAUCGCUGGAGGAUUGGCCCGCGUCUGAUUAGCUUGUUGGUGAGGUAAUGGCUCACCAAGGCGACGAUCAGUAGCUGGUCUGAGAGGACGACCAGUCACACUGGAACUGAGACACGGUCCAGACACCUACGGGUGGCAGCAGUCGAGAAUUUUCUCAAUGGGGGCAACCCUGAAGGAGCGACGCCGCGUGGAGGAUGAAGGCUUUC
rnacentral:rRNA from 1 species